GUUCAGACUCCCAAGGCAAGGAGGAGGCACCUAGAGAUGAGAACCACCUCAUCUCCUGACUUAACUCAAGAGGCUGCAAAGUAGUGAUGACUACAGUGCCACUGCGUAGUUCACUGGUGCUCAGAACUUCAGCGUGCCUCGUGACCACUGGAGGGCUUAGCAAAACAGAUUCCUAGGCUCCACGCCAGUUUCUGAUCCAUAAGGUGCCGCCCAAUAAUUUGCAUUUCUACUAACUUCCUAAUUUCUGUUGGCUAUACUUUUGAGAACCAGUGGAGUGCUUGGGGCUGCUUCUCAAUGAAGACAUCCACUGCUGCCCUCCUAAGGCCUCUCCCUGCCUAUGGAGAGCAAAAACCACUCUCACCCUGCUCUCCACCUGGCUUACCUGAACUUCGGCAGAGGGUGUGGAUGACUAUGAUAGUUGCCCCAGUCUGCCUGUCUCUGAAUAGAGUAGCAAAGGCGGCAGAGCAGUCCUUCUGGAUCUGAAAACAACAUGCAUGAAGGAAAAUAAAAGAGUGGCAGUACCCAACCUGGGGCCAUCCAUGUGGCAUCAACAAAACAAUGCCAGAGCCUUUGCUCAGCAGGGAGGCCUUGGGCUAGGUGGCAGGCAGCCCUACUUCUGCAGUUAUGGUCAGGAAAGCUGCUGCUGGCACCCUCCAGCUGAAGCCAAUGGUGGCAGAACUGCCCUGUUGAAAUACUUGUUCCAGGAGUGUGCUGCUCUUUGCCACUCCCAGGAGCCCACAAUUGCACUGGGAGGGCCUGCAGAGCCCAGCUGCACACGCCAUCCUUCGGCAGGCCUAACCGUAAAAGAAAUGUAACUUACCAGAGAUGGGGAGGCCAUGUGGUGUAGUGCAAAGAAGACUGAACUGGGAGUUGAGGUUUUUAUUCUAGUCCUAGUACUGCUCCUACCUGGUGUGUGAUACUUUCAGUUCCUGGACUCCAUCUUACCUAACUGUGAAAGGGGUGGGGGCAGGUACUGGUUGAUCUCCAAGGUCUUUCCAGCUCAGACAAUCUUGAGUUAUAUAAAAAAUGCUAUAAAAUCCGUGGUAUAAAAUUCAAUUCCCAAUCAGAAGUCAAGGGGACUGGGCCUGAGGCACUUGAACCUUGGGCUCUGGCCUGGGAGCACUGAGAUAAGAAAGGCUUUCCUCUCCUCUCUGCUUUCCCAUCCACAGAGGCGGCUGCCAGGGCCGCUACCCCUCCAGACCCAGCCCAGAAGUCCCCACCCGCUGAUCUCCCCACUCAGCCUUGAAGACCAAAGGAACCGGCCGGGCUAUGUGGAGAGCGCCAGUGGGUUGCUAGAGACUCCUUGGAGGAACCUGAUGAGGCACACAUNNNNNNNNNNNNNNNNNNNNNNNNNNNNNNNNNNNNNNNNNNNNNNNNNNNNNNNNNNNNNNNNNNNNNNNNNNNNNNNNNNNNNNNNNNNNNNNNNNNUAUGUGGAGAGCGCCAGUGGGUUGCUAGAGACUCCUCGGAGGAACCUGAUGAGGCACACAUUAGUCUAUGAUGUUUGGGGUCCUCCCGUCCGCGCCUCCUCUCUCCUACCUUUAGGUCCUUCCUCCACCACCUCACAGCUUAUCUCUGAUACACGCAUAAUAAAUAAGACAUUUGCACAUAAAGGUGACGGACAGCUCUCUUCCCGCCCCUCCCCCUCUCAUAUAAAAGCAUUAAAUACAGUUUCAAAAUAAAAUACAAAGAGCAAAAUGGGCCUGAUCCCGGGGCCACCUGUUCUCCACAGGAGAAUGAAUGUACACAUCCCUCUCGGACCUGCCUGGGAGAUCGCGGGGCCCGUUCCCGGCCCCUCGCGGCCUGGCUCUGCCGCGGAGAGGAGAGAAAGGAAGGCCGAGGCCCGGCCCCAGGCCCAGAGGGCUGCGAGCGGGUGGCACGUCCACGGUGUACAAAAGGGGGAGGGGGCAGGGAGGGGACGGGAACAGAACGCCAACUGCCGGGACCUCCAGUGUCCCGGACUCGGACUGAGGGCGCUUGAAGCAGGCGCGCCUGACUGAGCUUA
ensembl:lncRNA